rnacentral:lncRNA from 1 species
CUUAUCAAAUCUGUCAUGCUUCAAAGUAUCAUUAAAAAAAGUCAUCCACAUAAAUAAUUGAAUUCUUCAAUUCACUCUAAUUCACGUAAGCAUGAUUCACACAAAUAAUUAAAUUUUUUAACUCACCCUAAUUUAUGUUCAUUAAACCUUAAUAACUUUUAAAUAGAUAAGACCUUAGACUACGUAUAAAUAAAAAAACAGAAAAUAAAAUAUCAAUUAAUUUAAAAUAAAAUCUAUUAAAUUUAUCUCUAAAAUAAAGUAAUA